rnacentral:rRNA from 1 species
UACGUAGGGUGCAAGCGUUAAUCGGAAUUACUGGGCGUAAAGCGUGCGCAGGCGGUUGUGCAAGACCGAUGUGAAAUCCCCGGGCUUAACCUGGGAAUGGCAUUGGUGACUGCACGGCUAGAGUGUGCCAGAGGGGGGUAGAAUUCCACGUGUAGCAGUGAAAUGCGUAGAGAUGUGGAGGAAUACCGAUGGCGAAGGCAGCCCCCUGGGAUAACACUGACGCUCGUGCACGAAAGCGUGGGGAGCAAACAGG